GGGGCAAUGUAAGGUGUCAAGGGUAGGGGAAGUCUAUGAUUGAUCCAAUGGGUGGGUCACAAACAAAUUUCUCGGUUAUAAAAAAAAGAUUUUGCAGAAACUUUUGAGAUCUUCAGAAGGAUAGAUGACAAGGUUAUUGGAUUUCUGCUUCUGAACAUGCAUCUGCAUAGGUACUAUUGCCUACACACUAUCAUAAACUCCGGAGCAGUGCUGGACCAAUCUAUAUUUUCUUUCUGUCCAAGUUCAGUGCCUUGUUUGAACUACUUGAGUUCUUUCUCACUACAAGAUCUCCAGAAGGUCUUCGUGCAAGUCAACUUGCAUGUUGUGUUAUUUCAGAAUAGUGGUGGAUGUUCAGGAAAGCAACGUUUGCAUCCACAGAGCAUUCUGCUUUAGGGUACUCUCUAGAUGAAUCCAUUCUUUAAAAGUUCUGGAAACUUUGUGAACGCCAACUAAAUAUUCCAGGUGGUUCCAUGUUUCUAUUUGAUCGGAAUUUGGGAAGUACUACAAGAUUUCCGUAAAGAUGGUCACUAUUGGAGGAAUAAGAAGGAUUUUAAAUCUUCUGUCCUUCUCAUUAAAGAGGCAUUUUUUCGGAAUGGUGAGAAGAAAGCUCGUAGAAUCUUUUGUAAAAUCAUUGAACUUAUGUGCUACAACUGAGAGUCACGGGGAACUGUAGGACUUCGUCCCUAACAAAUCAAAGGGGAUUGAUGAUGAACUCAUUAUCAAACUUAAAUUUGUUGUCGUUGCAAGAUGGAUAUGGUGAUGAUGAAUACUCACUGCUUGUUGACUUGAACAUGUUGUAUGAACGUCAAUUGUCAAGGCAAAUUUCAAUUGAUAGCUUGCAUAAAGAUAUUGCAGAGAUUCUCAAAAACUUCAGAAGUAUUGAUGACGAGGUUUGUGUUGGUAUUUUCAGAACAAUGGUGGCUGUUUCAGGAAAGCAACCCUCGCAUCCACAGAGCUAGAAGUUUUGGGGUACUCUCGAAAUGAAUCAUUCUUCAAAAGUUCUCGAAACUUUGCUAACACCAACUACAUAUUCCAGGUUAUUUUUGCUCUCCCAUUCAUAGUUUUCUUUCGAUUCGUGGCAGUUCUAUACAACCAACAAUCUUCAACAUUACUACAAUGCGUGACUUAAAAAUAGUUCGAACCAAAUAAAAAAUCAGCCAUAUCAUCCCUAAACAACUUCAGUUCUUGCUGCACCUUGUGAUGAAGUUUGUGACUUAAUGUUCUUCUGUCUAAGCAAAACACAUUUAUGUUGAAGUUGACUUUCUAUGAUAGCA